UUUGUUUCUACUAACCGAAUGUAAAAGAAAAGAAAAAGGAAAGAACAAGCUAAGGGUUCGGCCAUUUUGAAUUUUGAUUAAGAUCAAAAACCAAAGAAAUCGGAGCUAGAUCAGGAAAAAACCAAAAUCGUCGACUAAUUAUCCGAUUUCAAUUUUUCACUAUCCGAGAUUUUGGAGUCACGUUACGAGCUCGGGGAUCAUCAGCAUUAGAGGUGCUCAUGG